rnacentral:rRNA from 1 species
UACGAAGGGGGCUAGCGUUGCUCGGAAUUAUUGGGCGUAAAGAGCUCGUAGGCGGUUUGUCGCGUCUGCUGUGAAAACGCGAGGCUCAACCUCGCGCCUGCAGUGGGUACGGGCAGACUAGAGUGCGGUAGGGGAGAUUGGAAUUCCUGGUGUAGCGGUGGAAUGCGCAGAUAUCAGGAAGAACACCCGUGGCGAAGGCGGCCAUCUGGACCGGUACUGACGCUAAGGCGCGACAGCGUGGGGAGCAAACGAGG